rnacentral:tRNA from 1 species
GCGGGAAUGGCGGAAUUGGCAGACGCGCUAGCUUCAGGUGCUAGUGAUCGCAAGGUCGUGCAGGUUCAAGUCCUGUUUCCCGCACCA